ACAGAGGGUGCAAACGUUGCUCGGAAUCACUGGGCGUAAAGGGCGUGUAGGCGGGAAGGAAAGUCAGAUGUGAAAUCCCUGGGCUCAACCCAGGAACUGCAUUUGAAACUCCCUUUCUUGAGUACCGGAGAGGAAGGUGGAAUACCUGGUGUAGAGGUGAAAUUCGUAGAUAUCAGGUGGAACACCAGUGGCGAAGGCGGCCUUCUGGACGGUAACUGACGCUGAGACGCGAAAGCGUGGGGAGCAAACAGGA
rnacentral:rRNA from 1 species